UUUUCCUUAUUAAAAUGAGACUAAACAUGACAUAAUUUGGGACAUACUUACCUGUAAAUUCAAAUAUUUUUCUUAUGUUGAUAUUUUGUGUAAAAUGCGCGGUAAACGAACGACUAAUGACACAUCGGGGAAUUUCGGUUUUCUUCGGUGCUAUUCGGGGAUCACGUGAUACGCCUGUCAGUCGAAAUUCGGAGACUACUAUGGCUUUAUGAUAUUCGGGAUUUUAUUACAAGUAAAUAUGCACCGAAUUACGUCGUGUUUGGACUCAUUUUAAUCGGGAAAGUGUUACCAAUAUGUUGGUAAAAGUAGUAUAAUAAAAGGACUGAGAAUAAAGAAAGUUUGCAACGUAUUAUUAUUGAAAACAAUGGAACAGGUCUUUAUCGCGUUCUUUAACAGAUCACGUUACAUUUCUUCGAGUCGUCUUCCCGCCAGUAGUGAAAUUGAAACUUUUUAGCUCAAAUCUUUAUAGAAUUUUUUUACACGAUAAACUAAAUUUUCAGAAGCGGAGAAGGUAUUAGACACGACGCGAUAAACGACAAACAGUUAUUUGCAUCAAGCCGCAGGAACGCAGAUGUAACGCAAUCAUCGUUGUGUUAUCAUAAUGACCAAGAAAUAUCGCAAUUACACUGCACGCUAUCCGAUUUGAUAGCAUAUCCUGUAAACAAAUUAUUGCGACUGCACAGGAAUGAUUAUCUAGAUUUACCAUCGAAGAAGAUUCGAAGAUAAGCAAAUAGUUUCAAUGUUCCGAACAUGGAACAGUUCAGUAAUUAUCGGUUUAAUCGUCCGGCUGUUAAGUUUCGACAUUCGAAGUGGUGACUGGUGAGAUGUCAUGACAUAAAAGUAUCACAAAAUGGCGCUUGUGGAGCGUCAACUUAAAAUAUAAGGUUUAAUGAAGAAGACUAUAUUAAUGUUUCAUCAAGACUUUUACUACAAAAUGGCUGCUGACUAAUUAUAGUAAGCGAUGGCUGAUUUUGAAGCUCGUCGCGUUUGAUGAAAUAUGACGUCAUAAAAGUAUCACAAAAUGGCGCCUGUGGUAUAUUAACUUCAAGUUUAAGGUUUAAUGAAGAAGCCUAUAUGAAUAUUUCAUCAAGAUUUUUACUACAAAAUGGCUGCUGACUAAUUAUAGUAAGUGAUGGCUGAUUUUGAAGCUCGUCGCAUUUGAUGAAAUAUGACGUCAUAAAAGUAUCACAAAAUGGCGCCUGUGGUAUAUUAACUUCAAGUUUAAGGUUUAAUGAAGAAGCCUAUAUGAAUAUUUCAUCAAGAUUUUUACUACAAAAUGGCUGCUGACUAAUUAUAGUAAGUGAUGGCUGAUUUUGAAGCUCAUCGCGUUUGAUGAAAUAUGACGUCAUAAAAGUAUCACAAAAUGGCGCCUGUGGUAUAUUAACUUCAAGUUUAAGGUUUAAUGAAGAAGCCUAUAUGAAUAUUUCAUCAAGAUUUUUACUACAAAAUGGCUGCUGACUAAUUAUAGUAAGUGAUGGCUGAUUUUGAAGCUCAUCGCGUUUGAUGAAAUAUGACGUCAUAAAAGUAUCACAAAAUGGCGCCUGUGGUAUAUUAACUUCAAGUUUAAGGUUUAAUGAAGAAGCCUAUAUGAAUAUUUCAUCAAGAUUUUUACUACAAAAUGGCUGCUGACUAAUUAUAGUAAGUGAUGGCUGAUUUUGAAGCUCGUCGCGUUUGAUGAAAUAUGACGUCAUAAAAGUAUCACAAAAUGGCGCCUGUGGUAUAUCAACUUCAAUUUUAAGGUUUAAUGAAGAAGCCUAUAUGAAUAUUUCAUCAAGAUUUUUACUACAAAAUGGCUGCUGACUAAUUAUAGUAAGUGAUGGCUGAUUUUGAAGCUCGUCGCGUUUGAUGAAAUAUGACGUCAUAAAAGUAUCACAAAAUGGCGCCUGUGGUAUUUCAACUUCAAUUUUAAGGUUUAAUGAAGAAGCCUAUAUGAAUAUUUCAUCAAGAUUUUUACUACAAAAUGGCUGCUGACUAAUUAUAGUAAGUGAUGGCUGAUUUUGAAGCUCGUCGCGUUUGAUGAAAUAUGACGUCAUAAAAGUAUCACAAAAUGGCGCCUGUGGUAUAUUAACUUCAAGUUUAAGGUUUAAUGAAGAAAACCGUAUGAAUGUUUUUGUACAAAAUGUCUUGCUAAUUAUAGCAAGUGAUUUUGAAGAACAUACUCUCCCAAUAAUUAUGAUGACACAAAGCUAACCUAAAAUAAUACUCACAGUAUAUUAAUUUUUAAUUUAAAGUUCGACUGAGAAGACUAUGUACUCAACUAAAACAUCAGAUUCUAAAUGAUGUAAAAUUUGAAAUAAUUUAACAUGACACAUCGAUUCAAGGAAAAUACGAACACCUCGUUCAGAUUUGAAUGAAAAAAUGGCUCUGCAGCAAAAAAUACAAGAGUACAGAUAAUUAUCGUAGCACGGAUUUGAUCGCGAAACCUGUUUACGAAUCACAUUUUCUCGAGAACCCUGGUAAUUACUGGUAAAAGGAAAACAGGAUAAAAAUGGAUAACAAAAAUCCGAUAGGGUAGCGAGCACGGAAAUCCUUCUCUCCUCCUAGCUGGAAAACGUGUAAAACGUUUUUUUUUUCUCGAUGCGUCUAAAUUGCUACGCUUCCAGCUGACCCAGUUUCCACGCAGAAGCUGUCUACGUCACACUGCAAAUUAUGUUGUGCAUAAGGGACCCUUGGUAAUCUCGUACACCCGAUCGUCUCUGUGUCUACCGUUCGGAUGAUCGUUUAAUCCCGUUUAGGGCGAGCUAUACUAAUUUUUACUUUUGUUCGAUUUUCCAAAUUUUUAGAUAUUCUCUUUUCCAAAUUUUCUGAUCCCCG
rnacentral:lncRNA from 1 species